AUGAGGUCUUUUUGGGACAUAUUAUAUAUCAAAUUAAAGGUCUUGGAAUGUAGUUUCCAACGCUCUUAACUGUUUGCUCAUACGACACCCGGAUAAAAAGUUAUAAGUAUUGGAAGACGAGCCAAUUAUAGGGUGUCAAGUAGCACCUUUUGACUUUUCAACAAAAUGGAGAUUAUCUCCUUUAUCUCGUCUCUUUCUGCAUAUUUCCAGAGAGCACGACCAAAUAAUACCCCUAACAUCACCCUUAAGCUCUAUACAAGGGUUUCAAAUAAUACCAUCAUCCCGGGCACGAAAUCACGAAGCAAUAACACAAGAACGAUCCCCACGACAUUGAGUUGAGUUGUUUGAAGAGUUGCUUAAGAUGUAUUAAGGACUCACCAUGGUUAAGGUCCCAAUUGAUAGGUUGACAUUCCUCCUAGUAGGCUAUCAGCUCAGCGGAGGUGUUGGUGCACUCCACUUGCUUCGGAGUUGCCUAUUUGGUCAGUAUGCUUUAGAUAUAUAUUGAUUGACAUGGUGGGGCCCUGUCUCGACCUUUAUGAUUUUAUGUACUCUUAGAGGCUUGUAGACAUAUGUUAUGUAUAUGAAAAUCAUAUGGCCUUAUCGGCCUAUGUUCAGUGUAUGAGUUAUCACUUUGGUUUUAUAGGCACGUAUGUCACAUGUAUAAGUUUUCAUGUCAUGUCAGGUCGUCCAAUAUUUAGUAUUCCCUUAUAUUUUA